GAUGAACGCUGGCGGCGUGCCUAAUACAUGCAAGUCGAGCGAACAGACGAGGCGCUUGCUCCUUUGACGUUAGCGGCGGACGGGUGAGUAACACGUGGAUAACCUACCUAUAAGUCUGGGAAAACUUCGGGAAACCGGAGCUAAUACCGGAUAAUAUAUUGAACCGCAGGGUUCAAUAGUGAAAGACGGUUUUGCUGUCACUUCUAGAUGGAUCCGCGCCGCAUUGGCUAGUUGGUAAGGUAACGGCUUACCAAGGCUACGAUGCGUAGCCGACCUGAGAGGGUGAUCGGCCACACUGGAACUGAGACACGGUCCAGACUCCUGCGGGAGGCAGCAGUAGGGAAUCUUCCGCAAUGGGCGAAAGCUUGACGGAGCAACGCCGCGUGAGUGAUGAAGGUCUUCGGAUCGUAAAACUCUGUUAUUAGGGAAGAACAAAUUUGUAAGUAACUAUGCACGUCUUGACGGUACCUAAUCAGAAAGCCACGGCUAACUACGUG
rnacentral:rRNA from 1 species